GCGAACGGGAUUAGAUACCCUGGUAGUCCACGCUGUAAACGAUGUCGAUUUGGAGGUUGUGCCCUUGAGGCGUGGCUUCCGGAGCUAACGCGUUAAAUCGACCGCCUGGGGAGUACGGCCGCAAGGUUAAAACUCAAAUGAAUUGACGGGGGCCCGCACAAGCGGUGGAGCAUGUGGUUUAAUUCGAUGCAACGCGAAGAACCUUACCUACUCUUGACAUCCAGAGAACUUAGCAGAGAUGCUUUGGUGCCUUCGGGAACUCUGAGACAGGUGCUGCAUGGCUGUCGUCAGCUCGUGUUGUGAAAUGUUGGGUUAAGUCCCGCAACGAGCGCAACCCUUAUCCUUUGUUGCCAGCGGUUCGGCCGGGAACUCAAAGGAGACUGCCAGUGAUAAACUGGAGGAAGGUGGGGAUGACGUCAAGUCAUCAUGGCCCUUACGAGUAGGGCUACACACGUGCUACAAUGGCAUAUACAAAGAGAAGCGACCUCGCGAGAGCAAGCGGACCUCAUAAAGUAUGUCGUAGUCCGGAUUGGAGUCUGCAACUCGACUCCAUGAAGUCGGAAUCGCUAGUAAUCGUAGAUCAGAAUGCUACGGUGAAUACGUUCCCGGGCCUUGUACACACCGCCCGUCACACCAUGGGAGUGGGUUGCAAAAGAAGUAGGUAGCUUAACCUUCGGGAGGGCGCUUACCACUUUGUGAUUCAUGACUGGG
rnacentral:rRNA from 1 species